AGUUGAAUGCUUGAUUUUCAUCAGUUGAAACAUCAUCCAGUCUUCAUCAGUUGAAUAGUUACAUCUCAUCAGUUGAAUAUCCUUCACUUAGAUAAAAUUACAUGGCAUUGGAUAUUUACAAUUAGCCAUCCUAUUCUACCCAUCCGUUGAUAAUUCCCAAAGAUAAGAAAUAUAACAAUUAUAACUGAAACUUGAUAAAGAUUCUAAGUAAGACAUGUUACAAAAUGUUUAUGUUAUCAUCAAAAAUUAUUUAUUCCUAACACAUUUCAUCAUGCUCUACAUUACUGUUUCCAACCUUCACAACAAGCUCGAAGGAGAAGUCAACCAGACCGAUGUGCGCAAGCUAAUUGGUAAGAUGAGAAAAGAAGGGUUUGUUGAAGCUCGAAGCAACAGAAGACUUGGUAUGCAAAUUGAGCAUUAUAAUUACUUUCAGUGCAUGAAUCAUAUUUGUUGGUCGAUGUUUACAUAUUCCUUUUAUUUCUGCAGGCAAGCGUCUGAUCUGUUCUGAUUUAACUGAGAAAAAAUAGCAUGAAGUCAAGAAAAACUUGAACCUUAAUGAGAUGGUGGAAGUUCUUUAGGAACAUUAUAAUGCAGGGUUCUUUAAUUUUCCUGUAAAUAGAUUUUUAAUAUGCAGAUUCUCAGAACCUGAGACAAUUGGUACGUAAUUGAUCAAAUGAUUUUUCUAUAAUUUGAACAGAAUGAUUCAAUACUUUAACUGUGCAAUGAUAACUCGGAAGAAAGGAACUUGUCUACUUGAUGCGGAGUUCGCUCCAUCGGAUCAGAUCUAACUCGCAUGAGAGGCAAAUUUGAAGCUUAUCAGAACAGAUCCGUCAGGAGUGAACAUACUGUUGUAAAGACGAAAGAGCAUGGGACCCCACAAGCAGAGCUCAGCCAGCAGCUUCUAGAGAGAGUUUUGCACAAGUAAUGGAAACUGGCAGAAGCAAUGGAAACCAUGACAAUUGCAGUGAGUUUGAUGCAAUCAUGUGUAGCAAGUCGUCAUCCCAGAGCAAGCGGUCCAGAAAAGCAACCGUUGUUAAGGUGUUAAGGAUCAUGUCCUUUCAGGUCGCCUGGAAAGAAUCGGAUUGUAGGGCCUAGUGAUGAUUUCCAGGGUUUCUUUCUACUUUUCCAGCGUCAUGAAACAGAGAGACUCGUCUACUGCAUAUAUCACUUGAAUUAGUUUUUUUCCUUUUCUUUGUUCAUCGGUAUUUUCACGACAUUCUGUCCCAUUUCAUGCAACACUUUCAUCGAGUAUGUUUGUGAUUCAUACUAGGCCCGUGCAUUGCACGGACGCUAAUGCUAGUUUUUGAAAGUAAAAGAAAAUGUAUUUCAGCAGCCAACAAAAAGAGUUUUUUUUAUAAAAUUUAAGCACAACAUUAUAAACAAAAA